rnacentral:misc_RNA from 1 species
UUUCCGUUGUUGACCCAGCGGAAGGAUCAUUACAGAGAUCAUGCCCUCACGGGUAGACCUCCCACCCUGUGUUAUUUACGAUUGUUGCUUUGGCAGGCCGCCGUCGAGCGCUCGGCUUCGGCUGAGGUGCGCCUGCCAGAGGACCCCCAACUCUGUGUUUAGUGUUGUCUGAGUCUUAUUUAAUACGUUAAAACUUUCAACAACGGAUCUCUUGGUUCUGGCAUCGAUGAAGAACGAAGC